GAUGAACGCUGGCGGCGUGCCUAAUACAUGCAAGUCGAGCGAACGGACGAGAAGCUUGCUUCUCUGAUGUUAGCGGCGGACGGGUGAGUAACACGUGGAUAACCUACCUAUAAGACUGGGAUAACUUCGGGAAACCGGAGCUAAUACCGGAUAAUAUUUUGAACCGCAUGGUUCAAAAGUGAAAGACGGUCUUGCUGUCACUUAUAGAUGGAUCCGCGCUGCAUUAGCUAGUUGGUAAGGUAACGGCUUACCAAGGCAACGAUGCAUAGCCGACCAGAAAGGGUGCGCGGCCACGCUGGAACUGGAGGACGGUCCGGCCUCCUACGGGUGGCAGCAGUCGGGAAUCUUCCGCAGUGGGCGAAGGCCUGACGGAGCAACGCCGCGUGAGUGAUGAAGGUCUUCGGAUCGUAAAACUCUGUUAUUAGGGAAGAACAUAUGUGUAAGUAACUGUGCACAUCUUGACGGUACCUAAUCAGAAAGCCACGGCUAACUACGUG
rnacentral:rRNA from 1 species